rnacentral:tRNA from 1 species
GUUAGUUUGUAUAAAAUAAUAUAUGUCUUUUAUAUUGCAAAAGACAUAUAUUAUUU